UUUAUUUCCCUACAUUUGAAUUUCUGCAUGUACCGUGUGUCUUGUUCUUGGCCGUGGUCUGUGGCGGUGUAGUGCUCUGGGGUUUAAAGCACGGCUUGGCAGCUCUGUGCUUCCCCUAGAGGGCCUUUCUGUUUGACUGCCCCCUCUAAAUCAUACACAGCACGCACCUACAGACCCUCUGUUUGUUAUUGCAUGGGAAUUGACAGCCAUUAGGGUUGACGUGGAUCGCUCCCCGUGUGUGUGCAUGUUGGUGUGUUUGUGUGUGACUGAUAUCAGCUUCAAAAAGGAAACACAUUAGAGGCACAUUUGACUGGUGUGCAAAGUAAGGCCUGACGCUGUUAACUCUGUCAGACAUUAUCUGUCCAAAAUAAUUCUGUUGUCAUUUACUCACCCUCAUUGUUUUAUUUUUUAUUAUGAGAAACACAAAAUAAGAUAUUUGAAAUUAAACACUGUAUAAGCCAUGGUAACAGGGUCGAUAUUGCAAUUUGUGUACAAAUUAACAAACUUGAAUGACAACUAUGGGGGAGGAUUGAUUAAUGCUUGCCAAAUUAAUUAUAAAAUGCUUUUUCUACAAUAAAAAAAUAACAAUGGAGAUUGACAGAUUAUGUCAAUUUAGGACAUUGUUGACAUUUUAACUUGUGGGAACAACUGGUCAAGACAGGCCAAACUUUGCUAUUCGUCAUGUAAAAUUUUAUAUCACAUAAUGAUUUAUCUAAUUUCUCUAAGAACAAAAACAUGGGAUGGAACACCAUAGUUUAACAUAUUCGUUUAAUUUGCCUGCAUAGAUAUGCAAGAAUUUAAUUAAUGCCCAGUGUUAUUCAACCACAUUUGACAUUUUCUCCAAAACAAGUAUUGCAUAACCAUUAAAAAAAAAGCCUAGUAGGCGUAAUAAUUAGAUGACUAAUGGUUGGACAUCAAUCAUAAGAGCUCAUUGCUUUUAUUGAGCAUGUGCCCUCAGCAUGCACUGACCCCACACCGGACCUCAUACCUUCUCCAAUUCAUGCUAAUAACCAAUGCAAACAUCAGCCUGAGUAGAGGGAGGGAUGCCAGGGUCAGAUAACGGUUCUGUACUGUUUACAUACACGGUAUAUAACCUGUAAAUACGAGGGGAGGGUUCAUCCUUACUGCCCCGCUAACCCAAACCAUGUGUGCGAGGACAGACCCCCCCUCAAGCACGUCAAUCAACAGGCCAGGGGAGCUGAGAUCGUAAUGAGACUGGCAGAGAAUCCUUCAGCCAUCCACACACAGAAACACAGCGGUUUGAGCGUGCACACAAACACGUACACGCAUUCAAACAUUUAUCUAGAAACAGACACUCUUCAAGCACAGAGAGCAAGCAAAUACACAGAAACUGUGAGACAGACACACAAAGAGGGGUUCUUUGGGGGUCUAACAGAUGUUUAGCACUGGGUUCUGGGGGUUUGCGUGGAGAGCAGCAAACUCGUUGCAUGCUUUUCAUGAUAACCGACACUGUUUAUACUUGGUAUUAGAAUUCAUUUCUUAAAUGCAAGUGUGAACAUGGGGCAAAACAUUUUGUGAUUGGAUUAUUUGAACUGUAUUGAGAGCUAGUCAGAAAUGCAUGCAUUUUUAUUGAAAACGCUAAUACAAACAACACCUGCAGACAACUGCCUUCUCACUUAUCAAUUAGUCUUUUCAUGAAACAAAGGGGUUUAAACCAUGCUAUGCAAAAAAAAAAAAAAAAAAAAAAAACCAUCCACUAUUUUUUCCAACUUGCAUUAUUACACAAAUGAUCUGACAUUCAAAUGUUCUUCAUUAGAACAGAAUUAGACAAAUGUAGCAUUACAUCAUUUGCUUACCAAUGGAUCCAGUGAAUGGGUGCCAUCAGAAUGAGAGUCAGAAGAGAAAUACUGUAUGCUCCAUCCAGAUCAAUCUCCUUUCACAAGCUGAAACACUCCAAAACAGUUCUAAACGAAGUAUGUUUGUAACUAAAUAUGAGUUUGAUAUGAGAUGAUGGACCUUUGCACUGCAGGACGCUUUAUUAUGGAUAUGGAAAUUAUUGUGAUGUUUUUAUUGUCAUUCUAAUGGCACCCAUUCACUGCAGAAGAUUUAAUUGUGCAGUAAAGUAAUGCAUUUUUUUUUCUAAAUCAAUAGUAAUCAAAACAAAAUCAUCUACAUCUUGGAUGGCCUGAGGAUGAAUACAUUUAAAUUUUUUGGACGAACUUUUCCUGUAACAGCAACUAAAAACUUCAAAUAGAUUCAAUACACUUUUUUUCUUUUUCUUCUUUUUUGAUAUUUGAAGGUCACAUUAAAGUACUGUAACAUCAUUAUGUGGUUAUGUUGUCUUUCAAAUGACUUAGGAAUAGAUUUGUUUUACCCUCAUUUUAUCCACACUAUGAAAAUCCAUCAUAGAAAUAUGAAUUACUACAUUUUUAGAAACUGCAAAUCUAAACAGUUUAAAAUACACAUAAACCAUUUGGAUGGUUUUUGAACCCAGUACAGCAGCGUCUUCAUCAAAACCAAAAAAUUAAAAAAGCUUGAGCUUAAAUAUGAGCCAAAAAUGUCUAUAGUUGAAGAAAUACUCAUCUGAACAAGGGUCAUUCUUCAUAUUUAACUACUUCUGAUGGGAGUAUGUGCCUUGAUUGCUAAUAUGCCUUCAGAGAUGUGUCAGUCUUCAUGGUAAUGGUUAUGUUACACUGUCAUUCUUGCAUAAGUGUGUUGAUAUGCAGAGCAUAAGUGGGACAGAUGUGGCGUUCAUCACAACAUCCUCUCAAAGCCUCUGAGAUCUGAUUGGAUCCAUGUUGUGUGAGUCAUGUGAAUCAGACAGGGUUGGCUGGUCCUUUAAAGAAGCUUUGUGUUUGGCUUUCGCAGGGCUCACAAGAAGAAGAAUCCUUGUGCUGAGGAACCCUAUACACUCUUACAUACUGGAUCCAGAUUUCCAGCGCUGGAGGUCUGUGGUGAACCACCCACUGCUGGCAGCGGUCUAACCCGGCUGAGGCAGCGGAUGGGGUGGGUGUUGAAUCCCGUGGAGAGCACUGGAGACCAGACCAGCCCUGCUGAAUCAUGCUAAAUGAAGAUGAAACCGUGCUGGACUGCUGUGUUUGUGUGUGAAAGUGCAGCUGUGUAGGUAAUACUAGGUCAGCUGGACCUCUCAGUGCCCUGGUUUGGGAUGUUUGUGUGUAUUUCCUCAGGUGUUUUCCUGCUUUGAUGCUUGAUGGAAGGCUCUUUAUAACAUCAGUAAACUUACUGAGCAUCAAUUCAGCCUGUGAAUCCACAAAGAUGUCAUUUUCCUGCAACUGUUUCAUGACAAUUGCAGUUUCCAUGCAAUUCUGUUCCCGCAUAUGACAAAGUGCGCAGUCGACAAGGUUAAGGAGAAGAAACAGAAUCUCUCAAGUGAGCACGGCCAACAAAUCGCUCUGUGUAACUCUAGCUCUCCAUGGCUACUCUUCGGGCAGGAGGGGAGAAGAUGUGAGGGGUGUGAUGAGGUCAAUCCCCUGGUGCCUGAUAGUGAAACUGAAAAAUCAUGGAGAAAAUAUGGACUUAUGGCACACACUACAGCAUUUCCUGUACAGUCUCUGGAGUAUUGAGGAAACUGCUUUUUAGGUCAAGAAGGUUAUGACCAGAAGCCAGUUUUCUUGGAAGAGUAAAGCCCACAGCACAACAGAAUUCCAUCCUUAGGGAUUUCGGGAAGCAGCACAGCAGACCUGGAUAGCCUGGGAAAUGGGAGGAGGGAGGCAAUGGGAGGUCUUAUCCAAGAACUUUCUUAACAACUCAGUUUGAAACCCUAAGGGAUGUAUGUGAGAAAUUAUCAACAGGCACUGAAUCAUCUCAUAUUGCAAAAGACCAUUGUUGGGUCUCAUAUUUGGAAAUUUUGUGACUUUCAAAGUCCUUUUCUCAAGAGUUUUUAUUUUCAUUUGUAUUACCAUCAACUGCAUCUAUUUGUAUCUUUGUAUAAAUUGAUAAAUUAAAUCUGACAAUAGCUUUGGCGUCUUCCAAAGAUGCAAAUUUAACUAAUGUGCAAAACUGGAAUAUCGCAUAAAACAUUUGCAAAUGUAGCAACAUUUCCAUACAACAAGAGAGAACAAAAUUGUCACUUCCUGAUAAACUGGCACUAAAUAUCACUAGGAAAGGUAGGAGAAUGUAAUAAUUUUCAUAUAUGUGAUCCUGGACCACGGUGAAUUUUUUUAAACUGAGAGGUGGAUGCCUGCAGUCAUAGAAGACAAUUAUAUAAAAAUACUUUGCUCAGGCAUUUCAGAAUGACCAAAACUACCUUUUAGAUACUGCGCAACAAGAUCAGAACAUUUUUUCUUACCGGAUAAAAAGCUUAUCAUACUUAAUUGCGCGUAUAAAUUUUUUUAAUGCUCAUUUUUUCAAAUUUAUGCACAUUUUGGUGUUUCCAUCCAGCAUUUUUUUUAAUACAGUAUUCCAAAUGCGCAUACAAAUACAUGUAUGUCAACCAUACAAUUGCUAUUCUUUUCAUUUUUCAUUCAUCAAAGAAAAAAAGUGUAGCUGCCACACAAAAAAAUAUC